UCCUCCGUGGCGCAAUUGGCUAGCGCGUUCGACUGUUAAUUCGCAAGAAGAAGACAGGUUAUCGAGAGGUUGACAGUUCAAGCCUGUCCGGGGGAG